GCCGGGACAGAAUAGCCUAGUGGUAACACUAGAGUGAACUGGAUCCCAAGGCAUCCGGGUUCGACUCCUCCGGGAUUCCAGAGAGCAACCCAGUGAUCAAAAAAAAAAACUUUACUUUCUUUCUAUUCCCUCCCACCGCAUCUCACGAUGGAAUUCUCUGCCGCCGACUUUGAAAAGCUUGUGAUGUUCGAGCACGCUCGCAAAGCUUAAUUUGCUGCAGUGGGGUGGAGCAUUGCUUGAACAUGCCCAGUUCCAGCCUAUUCCUGAGGCGAAGCUGAUGUUAGAUGAUGUUGAUGCAGCAAUCACUAGGUGGAGGUGGUGGAGGAGGUCCCGCAGCUUCCUCAAAUGCUAGCGGCGGUAAGAAGAA